rnacentral:rRNA from 1 species
CGUCUAUAUACGUAUAGCAUAUCAAUAAGCGGAGGAAAAGAAACUAACUAGGAUUCCCUUAGUAAUGACGAGUGAAGCGGGAAGAUCUUACUCGCUUGCGCUAUUUACCUACGCUUAUUAGUCAUCACAAUCUCUCUCAACAGACUCAACAUCCUAAGCGUAGGUAAAUAGCGCAAGCGGGAAGAGCUCAAAUUUGAAAUCUUCAAGGUUCUACCUUGACGAAUUGUAGUUUAAAGAAGUGGUUUCUGUUAGAGGAGUAGCAAAAGUUCCUUGGAAUGGGACAUCAUAGAGGGUGAGAAUCCCGUAUUUGGUUAUUCUUUCUAGCUUUGUGAUACACUUUCAAAGAGUCGGAUUGUUUGGGAAUGCAGUCCAAAAUGGGUGGUAAAUUUCAUCUAAAGCUAAAUAUUGGCGAGAGACCGAUAGCGAACAAGUACCGUGAGGGAAAGAUGAAAAGAACUUUGAAAAGAGAGUUAAACAGUACGUGAAAUUGUCAAAAGGGAAGCGUUUAACACCAGUGUUGUUUUUCCGAAAAUCAAUUAAGAGUGGCUUGAUUUUGUGUUGUAUUGACCUUAUCAGCUUUCUUCACUCUUUUUCGAGUCUUUCUUAAUGCACUUUUCGGUUAACAAGUCAACAUCAAUUUCUUUUGUUGUAAAAGGGUAUUUGGAAGGUGGCUUUCUUUUCGGAGAAAGUGUUUAUAGCCUUAUACCUCUACAAUCGGAGAGAUUGAGGUCUGCAGCGUAGAUCCUUCGGGGCUAGAUACACUUGUGCUAAGUUAUAGCUUUUCAUAGACAACUUGUUGACUAUGUUUAGUCAUGUAGCUUACCCGCUUGUGCUAUUUUACCUACGCUUAGGAUGUUGAGUCAUCACACAUCUCU